AUUGAACGCUGGCGGCAUGCCUUACACAUGCAAGUCGAACGGGCUUUGGGGCUUGCUCCAAAGUUAGUGGCGAACGGGUGAGUAAUAUAUCGGAACGUACCCUAGAGUGGGGGAUAACUAGUCGAAAGACUGGCUAAUACCGCAUACGAUCUAAGGAUGAAAGUGGGGGACCGAAAGGCCUAAGGCUCAUGGACGGGCGGAUAUCUGAUUAGCUAGUUGGUAGGGUAAAAGCCUACCAAGGCGACGAUCAGUAGCUGGUCUGAGAGGACGAUCAGCCACACUGGGACUGAGACACGGCCCAGACUCCUACGGGAGGCAGCAGUGGGGAAUUUUGGACAAUGGGGGAAACCCUGAUCCAGCAAUGCCGCGUGAGUGAAGAAGGCCUUCGGGUUGUAAAGCUCUUUUGUCAGGGAAGAAACGGUGGGGGCUAAUAUCCUCUGCUAAUGACGGUACCUGAAGAAUAAGCACCGGCUAACUACGUGCCAGCCGCCGCCGUAA
rnacentral:rRNA from 1 species